UGGGAGCAGAGUGCUUUGGUCUUGCCAGAAGGAAGCAUCUUGUUCCUUUUCUUAUCAGCCUGGGCAGAUAGUGGAGUUGAGCAAUACCCAGAACUAGAACAGGAUCAUUCUAGUGUGCUCCUGCCUUACAGACCCAUGCUCUCAAUUGAAGCUGUUGUUUUGCUUUUCCUUCAGUUGCUUUCAGAUGAAGAUGCACCUAUGGUGGGACUGAAGUAGAAGACUUCGCAGGCAAGCCAGCCAGCAUAGGAAGCAAGCUGCAGUGUAUAUCUGCUUCAUUAGGGUGGCAAGGCGGUGUCUGUAAUAGCCUAUAUGAGAGGAUCCCCUGUGUCUCAGCUGUGGACAGCCCUGCAAUCAAGGGAUGAAGGUUUGUGAAGCCCUUAGGAGAGGAGUGAUGACUUUUGUUUGGAUUCUGGGCAAGUCCAUCCCUUCCUUCAUUGAGUUGGAAGGCUAAAUUAAGUUACCCCUAUCAUCAGCAGAAUGAGUCCCUGGACCAGCAAAGGAGGGAAACUAAGCCAGGGGCCUACAUUUGGCCAGGGAGAUGUGACAGCAAGUCCAUGUUUCGUGAUGACUGCAGAGUUCUUAGCCCAGACUGGGAAAUGAAAAUGUGUUUCCAUUCCUCAUCCAGUGACCUGGUCUGGAGAGCUAAACCAUGAAGAGGGAGCAACCAAGUCCAGAGAGAGACACCAAGGAGUGAGCAACCAAAGGAGGGGGCAGCAGACUGCUGAAGAGCUAAUCCCCAGAUGUGCCACAAAGCAGUGCCCCUAAUGUUUUCCGGAACUUCCCUGGUGUUCUAAGAGGUAUCCGAAAUCUACAUUAAUGGUCCAGUGAGUUCCUCAACCAGUUCUCUUAAAAAACUUGGCUGCAAGUUAUUUGGACUCACUGAUUUUAAAAGUACUAAUUUUAGUAGCUGCUGUUUAACAUUCUCCUGAGAUACUAGUGAAAUAGAAAGUGUUAUCAUAUGACAUGACUAAUCUGCUUUUCCCCCAAAUACAUAACAAAUAUUUAUUGAACACAUCUGCCUUUUCUGCAUUAUUAUUGAUUUUACUAUUUCCAUCUAGUAAUGGACCAAUUCCAUUGUUAGGAUUCAUUUUAUUCCCAUUAUAACUUUUUUUAAAAAAUCCUUUUUAUUGUUUCUUAACUCUACUGGCCAUACAUUUCUCCUUUUGUCCCUUUGCUUCCCUUAUCCUUUCUAUAAUGCCUAGCUUCUGAAAUAUAUUCAUUACUAUCAGCUGCCUCUCUUUUUUUACACACAUACCCCAAAUGCAUCUGCCUUCACUUUCCCUCAUUGUGUCACUUCAUGUCCUUUAGUUCCUUGAUUGAUUGUGUUCUCAACAUCUCAAUUUUGUGAUGAGUGCUCAUAUUGUCCCUCUUUUUACCCUUCCCUUUUGAAUUAAAGCUGCAAUAAUCCACACACAAAAAAAUGUAUCAAGAGGAUUUAUAGGAAAAUUAAGAAUAAUUAUACUUGUUUUGUCCCGAAGUCACAUUAGCCUGAAGUAAACAUUUUUUAUGUGUUCAGUCACCCAAUCAGGGAUGAGAAAUACCAUGUGAUUUAUGUACCCAAUCAUACACCAGGAAUAACAAAUAUAAUUUGCUUUACAUAUCUGGUAAGCAACUCCUAGGAUGAAGACUUGGUGUAUACAGUACUUACAAGUAAUGGGCCACUUCCUCAAUUGUUAUCGGUGUUGCUUGACUGAAGUCCAUGAAAUUGUGCUUAUUCAUGCCAGGUGAGGAGCUGAGCCAAUAACUACAUAAACAUAAAUCAAGACUGACCUGCAAAUGAUUCACUCACCAAAAAGGGGGGCUAAAUGCAUAAAGAAUACUUGUAAUGACCAGCUCUGUUUAAAUUCAAAGUAGGCUAUUAAUUUGGACUGUCCUAGAAUACGUCAGACCCACCCGUGCCACCUCAAAAAACCCCACUUCCAUAAUCGUUCACAUUAGACAGCGUGAUACACCAGGCUAAUGUGACUUUGGAACAAACUAGGGAAAGUAGAACUAAUGUUGGUUUUCCUCUAAGUCCUCUAGAUAGUGGUGAGUUUUGGGCAGGGGGCAGUGUUUUUGUUUUUGUUUUGUUGUUGUUUUGGUUUGGUUUGGGGGGGGGUUGGUUUUUUUGUGUGGAUUGUUGCAGAUUUCAUUCAGAAUUGUAUUGACUAAUUUCCUUCAACAUUGUAGGGGGUUGCUAAGCAACAUGGAGUCUUUCUCUAUGUGUUUGUCCCAUGGAGAGAAAAUGGGAAAUAGAAAAAGAUUCACCUUCUCUAAUACCUAUCAGAUCACAGGGUCUCUCAUUUCAGACCCAGGCAAAGUUAUACUAUUCAUAGUUCUUUCUCAGAACUGGAGUAGAUCCUACUUAAUUUGGUUAUGAAUUUAGUUAGAAUAUAGAUCCUACCAAAGGGACAAAAUUUGCUAUCGCUUUCAAGGUGCUGUCGGACUGGCAUUCACACACAUCUAUCUGUGGACAAUGCAGUGUAAAUCUGGCCAACAACUUUCUCUCCUGUGCAAUGUGACUUGGGGGCUGAUAAACAGAAUCAAGCUAUACUCAGCAUGGAGUUAUUCUUUGAGACCUUAAAACAGACAGCAUAUCUGGCAGACAGCUCAUUCUGACCAGCCAAAUUGAUUCAAUCAGGUCUUCCAGCUGCUUCAUUUCUUAGUGCUGAGCCUUUCCAACAGCAAAACCAAUCUAGUUGCUGUGUUGUAAUGUGGCUUAUCAUAGGGUUACCAUACGUCCGGAUUUCCCCG